UACGUAGGGUGCAAGCGUUAAUCGGAAUUACUGGGCGUAAAGCGUGCGUAGACGGUUAUGUAAGUCGGGUGUGAAAGCCCCGGGCUCAACCUGGGAAUUGCAUUCGAGACUGUGUAGCUAGGGUACGGAAGAGGGAAGCGGAAUUUCAGGUGUAGCGGUGAAAUGCGUAGAUAUCUGAAGGAACACCAGUGGCGAAAAGCGGCUUCCUGGUCCAGUACCGACGUCAGGCACGAAAGCGUGGGGAGCAAACAGG
rnacentral:rRNA from 1 species